rnacentral:rRNA from 1 species
CCUACGGGAGGCUGCAGUGGGGAAUAUUGCACAAUGGGCGCAAGCCUGAUGCAGCCAUGCCGCGUGUGUGAAGAAGGCCUUCGGGUUGUAAAGCACUUUCAGCGGGGAGGAAGGCGUUAAGGUUAAUAACCUUGGCGAUUGACGUUACCCGCAGAAGAAGCACCGGCUAACUCCGUGCCAGCAGCCGCGGUAAUACGGAGGGUGCAAGCGCUAAUCGGAAUUACUGGGCGUAAAGCGCACGCAGGCGGUCUGUCAAGUCGGAUGUGAAAUCCCCGGGCUCAACCUGGGAACUGCAUUCGAAACUGGCAGGCUAGAGUCUUGUAGAGGGGGGUAGAAUUCCAGGUGUAGCGGUGAAAUGCGUAGAGAUCUGGAGGAAUACCGGUGGCGAAGGCGGCCCCCUGGACAAAGACUGACGCUCAGGUGCGAAAGCGUGGGGAGCAAACAGGAUUAGAUACCCUGGUAGUC